AACGAACGCUGGCGGCAGGCUUAACACAUGCAAGUCGAACGAGCUGGGGGCAUCAGUCCCCGCUGCUAGUGGCGCACGGGUGAGUAACACGUGGGUAUAUGCCCUUUAGUACGGAAUAACCAAGGGAAACUUUGGCUAAUACCGUAUACGCCCUUCGGAGGAAAGAUUUAUCGCUAAAGGUUUAGCCACCGUCUGCCUAGGUAGUUGGUGAUGUAAUGGUACACCAAGGGCUCGGUCAGUAGCUGGUAUGAGAGAAUGAUCCGCCACACUGGGGCUGAGACGCGGCGCGGAAUCCUACGGGAGGCAGGAGUGGGGAAUAUAGGAAAACGGGGGCAACCCUGAACCAGCCAUGCCGGGUGAGUGAAGAAGGCGUUCGGGUUGUAAAGCUCUUUCGACGGGGACGAUGAUGACGGUACCCGGAGAAGAAGCCCCGGCAAACUUCGUG
rnacentral:rRNA from 1 species